AUACGGAGGGUGCGAGCGUUAAUCGGAAUUACUGGGCGUAAAGCGUACGUAGGCGGUUUGUUAAGUCAGAUGUGAAAGCCCCGGGCUUAACUUGGGAACUGCAUUUGAAACUGGGUAACUAGAGUUUAGUAGAGGGGAGUGGAAUUUCAGGUGUAGCGGUGAAAUGCGUAGAGAUCUGAAGGAACACCAGUGGCGAAGGCGACUCCCUGGACUAAAACUGACGCUGAGGUACGAAAGCGUGGGUAGCAAACAGGAUUAGAAACCCCAGUAGUCC
rnacentral:rRNA from 1 species